UACGUAGGGCGCAAGCGUUGUCCGGAAUUAUUGGGCGUAAAGAGCUCGUAGGCGGUCUGUCGCGUCGGAUGUGAAAGCCCGGGGCUUAACCCCGGGUCUGCAUUCGAUACGGGCAGACUAGAGUGUGGUAGGGGAGAUCGGAAUUCCUGGUGUAGCGGUGAAAUGCGCAGAUAUCAGGAGGAACACCAGCGGCGAAGGCGGCGCUCUGGGCCGGUACUGACACUGAGGAGCGAAAGCGUGGGUAGCAAACAGG
rnacentral:rRNA from 1 species